ACUACCCAGGUUGCCCACCCGAGAUACUAGCCUUCCAGUUUCUAAGGGGAUUCUGAAAGCAGACUGACGGCCAGCAGAUUUCUCUACUGAAUGGGUUCAAGUUGCAGUAAAGGGGGUUUAAAUGAGAGUGUCCUGCAGGCAGGGGCGUAACGGGACUGCCACAGGCAAGCGGGGCCAUCCCUCUGCUGCCUGCCAUUAGAGCAGAUCUGAGCUGCCCGGACAAGCAUCCGCACCACUGCCUUGCAGCCAGGCAAGUAAGCCCGGUUGAAGGAGGAAACCAAUAGUCUAAAAUCUUCUAGAAUAGCUACCUUCCAAAUUCAUGAAGCCGGGGAAAUCCUUUCCUCCAGAUGAGUUCUUGAGAGAAGCCCGGCUCCCGCUUCAACCAUGGAGACUUUGGGUGGCGGUGGGACGCGGUCUGCAAACCCUGGCUGACACAGCAGAGGCUAAGCAGAGAGUCACGGCCCCGUAAGGAUGAGGCUCGGAAGGGAGAAGAUCUGUGACACCAGCAAUGACGGAGAUGACCAAACAGUAACAGAAGUCACCUGCUACUGAGCCCAGACUGAGCUCAAUGCUCUGCGUGUUCUCCUCCUGAGCCUCCAGAUCUUUCUACUGUGUUACUCCAACUGGACACAAGCAGAAACUGAGGCUCCAAGAGGCUCAGUGACAUGCCCAAGGCCAUCCCCCUGAAGAGCCAUGGCCGGCCGCUGGGAGUCUCCCGCUUACAACCGGGGGCAUCAGAGGGCCUGCUGGUGUACAAGGAUCGCAUGACUCCUCUGAACGACGGCCCGCGCUGGCCCCACAUUGGGAAGAGCCCAGAGGCUCCCGAGGCCACUUGAGCUGGCUGUCAAAGGCUCUGGGCUGAUUAACUGUGAACUUCAGCAAAGACAAGUGUGCAUUGACGCCGCAGAUCUCUCUCAGGCCUGUUGGGGCCUGUUUCCGCCCUGUGAAUGAGGAAGCUGUGCUUUGCAGGCGCCCACAGAACAAGAAUAGGCCCUAAGAUGCCUGAGCGCAGGGCCCAGGGGAAGUACAAAGCAUCGCCAUUGUUGGCGACGGAAGCCGUGCCAGGCACAGGGAGGGCGGCCCGGCGGCCAAGCAUCACUGCAGGAAAGGAAAGAGGUUAAUAUUUUUCUGGGCAAACAAUGCAACUUUUCUAACUGGAAAACCCGCAGCCAUGACCUCACACUGGACAAGAACCUCAACCCAGGCCGGGCGGCAAGGGUUGGUUUCAGGCACGCCAGAGGGGGCAGGAAGGCUGACAAAAGCACAGCCCUGGGGAGCAGCUGUCCCAUGGAAACCUCUGGAGCAGAUAAACCAGACCAGACAUUCCAGACACGCAAGGGAGCGUGCCCUCCCCGGGAAGGCGCAGGACAUUUCGCGGCUGGGGGCUGUGGGUCAAAGCCAUUCGCUACUGCAGCUGCUGAGGAUUAAUGCCACGAACGUCACGAGAGUAGCAUUUUUGAGAAUUCCUCCCAAGUGGAAACUAAAUGCAAAUAAAGCCAGUGUCGUCCCUUGACUCACCCGCGACUCAUGUCCAUGUGCGGGUGUCUUCCGUUCGUGGACGUUCACUCACGGGCCCCCCCACUGCCCCGAGCACCUACGGCUUUCUGGACCAGUAGGGAGAGUCCCCCGAUGGAAAUGGAACCAA